CAAAAGGUUUUCCUAAAAACCACCUCACAUUCAUUACAUGGCUUAG
rfam:Picea glauca, whole genome shotgun sequence.